ensembl:lncRNA
AAAGGAGAUCAUUUUGAAGCUUUAAGAUUUGGCUGCUCUACUGGAUUUCAGAAUUGCAUGGGACCUGUAGCCCUUUGUUUUAGCCAAUUUCUCCCAUUUGGAACAGUGGUAUUUACCCAAUCUCUGUAUCCCCAUUGUAUCUAGGAAGUAACUAACUUGUUUUUUAUUCUACAGGCUCAUAGGCAGAAGGGACCUUCCUUGUCUCAGAUGAGACAUUGGACUGUGGACUUCUGAGUUAAUGCUGAAAUUAGUUAAGAUUUUUGGGGACUGUUGGGAAGGCAUGAUUGGUUUUGAAAUGUGAGCAAAUGUGAGAUUUGGGAGAGGAUGGGGCAGAAUGAUAUGGUGUGAUAUGAUUUGGCUGUGUCUCCACCCAAGUUUCAUCUUGAACUGUAACUCCCACAAUUCUCAUGUAUCAUGUGAGGAACACAGUGGGAGAUGAUUCUAUUAUGACUGCAGGUCUUUCCUGCACUCUUCUCAUGAUAGUGAGUCUCAGGAGAUCUGAUGAUUUUAAAAAGAGGAGUUUCCCUGCACAAGCUCUCUUCUCUUGUCUGCCGCCAUGUGAGAUGUGCCUUUCACCUUCCACCAUGAUUGUGAGGCCUCCCCAGUCACAUGGAACUAGCCUGUUGCAGCUGAAAUCCCAGAAGACCUCACAAGUGUGUUAAAUUUUCACAGCUGACCACUUAAAGGCAGUUCUCUUCAAAUGAGAAGUGAGAAGACCUGGAGUCUGAAGCAAACUGACAUACAUGUAUUUCCUCCUACUCUGAAAGGAUGGGCUCCCAGUCAUCUCUUCUGCAAAAUAUUUGACUCAGUAGACCCUGGAAAUUCAACAUAUGGGUAAUCAACCUAUAGAUCCUGAGAGGAUUAAUGGUUGAAUAAUGUGCAAAGCCUUAACUGAAAACAAAACAAGAAUAAAUAAGAAUGGCUAUGAAGAGUAUGAUUUCCUUGUGGUUUCUUCAUCAUGAGACACAGACCAGGAUUCUUUAGAAAAUUAGAGUUGAUUUCAAAAGGAGACUUCUCUUUCAAAAGGAAAAUUCUCUAAAAAACAUCAUAGACACCUGAUUCUUCUGUUUGCCACAUAGCAGAUAUGGGUCUGACUUGUACCUUGCGAAAGGGAAUUACCUAACAUAUUAAUGUGUUCUAGAACUUUAGGAUGGUUCCAAACAUGAACCCUGGGCAUGACGUUUCAGAGGAUUAGAUAUGGCAUGUAGGACUGAGCCACAUAAGUUUGCUGUCAACCACUAAGCUAUCAGAAUUAACAUGCUUUCUACAUUAGCACUGGAUGGCAAGCAACAUUGCUGAGAAAUAUGCCUUUGAUUACUAUUUGGUUUUCAUAAAUGUCACACCCUACUUUUGUCACCUGUAUUAGAAUUUAGUUAAUGAUAAAAAAAAAACUAGAAUAAGUAAAAAGAGAAAGAAGGAGGCUAUGCUGGGUGAAACAAGCAGGUGGCAUUAAAAAACAGUCAUUUAGACUGAAAGAACCUCAAAGAAAGACCCAAUGAUGAAACACACACACAUACACAUACACAUACAUCUACCUAUAGGAACUAAUUGUAUAUUAAUCCCAUGUAUCAGAACAUGGAACACACUAUUGAGUUAUGGGCAAGGGUCCUGGUAGCAGCAUCAGUGCCUCUGUUUAGAUUUCUGCUCUCUUUGACAUCUCUACAUCUUGGAAACACUAUGUUAUAGAGUAAUAAUAAUACCUAAGUUUAUUGUGCACUUGUUAUAUUUCAGACCUUGUACUGAACACUGUAUGUGUAUUAAAUCUUUUAUACACAACUAUAAGUAAGGUUUCAGAACCCAUGCUGGCCUGCGGUGGCGCAAUCUCAGCACACUGCAACCUCUGCCUCCGGGGUUCAGGUGAUUCUUCUGCCUCACUUACAUAGAUGAGUUUGAUAACAGUCACGCUGAAGCUAAAAUGGUAGGAUAGUCGUUAUGAGAAAUGAUUCAGAUCUGAGUUCAGUUCCAGCUCCAUCACUGAUUACCAAUGGGCCUCCUCUGCAUUCGUCAAAUGCAGCAUCCACAUCAUAGAAUUGCUGUAAUGAUUAAAUACUUUAUAUUCAAUACUUAAAAUAUGGGAAAUACUUAAUAAAUGUUAUUAUAUUAAAUAUUGCUAUUAGAAAAGAUAUGAAAUGCAGGAGAUAGACCAAGUUUAUGUUUGAAUUUUAAUUUGUGCUGUUUUCAGGCAGACAUAAAUCCUAGCUCUACCACUUACUGUGUGAACAAGUUAUUUACCACCACCCCCCAGACUUUAGCACUCUCAGAUUUAGAAUUGUGACUAUAAUAAUACCUACUCCAUAAGUUGUUGUAAGGAUAAAAUAACACAUACAAAUUACCUCGCACAGAGUGGGCACUUAAAUAUUAUUUAGAAAUCAAAGUACGCAAAAAUAGCUAAUAUUCUUCAUGUGUCAGUUCCAGAUACUCAGCUAAUUAGAUAAGACACUUACAAGAAAAAUUGAAUAAAUUUUAUUUUUGGACCUUAUUAAACUAAAAGUCUCUUUCUAUCUUAAGAAUUGCACUUGUGGAAGAUGAUCC